GUUGUAUGGUUAAGUGACUAAGCGUACACGGUGGAUGCCUUGGCAGUCAGAGGCGAUGAAAGACGUAGUAACUUGCGAUAAGCCCAGAUUAGGUAGUAACAACCAUUUGAGUCUGGGAUUUCUGAAUGGGGAAACCCACGUGCAUAAGCACGUAUCCUUACCUGAAUACAUAGGGUAAGGAGGCGAACCGGGGGAACUGAAACAUCUAAGUACCCCGAGGAAAAGAAAUCAACCGAGAUUCCGAAAGUAGCGGCGAGCGAAAUUGGACUAGCCCUUAAGCUUUACACGCGUUAGACGAACGGUCUGGAAAGUCCGACGAUACAGGGUGAUAGUCCCGUAGUUGACGACGUGUGUUCAGUGAAAUCGAGUAGGGCGGGACACGUGAUAUCCUGUCUGAAUAUGGGGGGACCAUCCUCCAAGGCUAAAUACUACUGACUGACCGAUAGUGAACCAGUACCGUGAGGGAAAGGCGAAAAGAACCCCUGUGAGGGGAGUGAAAUAGAACCUGAAACCGUGUACGUACAAGCAGUAGGAGCAGGCUUUGUCCUGUGACUGCGUACCUUUUGUAUAAUGGGUCAGCGACUUAUAUUCAGUGGCAAGGUUAACCAUCUAGGGGAGCCGUAGGGAAACCGAGUCUUAACUGGGCGUUCAGUCUCUGGAUAUAGACCCGAAACCAGGUGAUCUAGCCAUGGGCAGGUUGAAGGUUGAGUAACAUCAACUGGAGGACCGAACCGACUAAUGUUGAAAAAUUAGCGGAUGACUUGUGGCUAGGGGUGAAAGGCCAAUCAAACCUGGAGAUAGCUGGUUCUCCCCGAAAGCUAUUUAGGUAGCGCCUCGGACGAAUACUACUGGGGGUAGAGCACUGUUAAGGCUAGGGGGUCAUCCCGACUUACCAACCCUUUGCAAACUCCGAAUACCAGUAAGUACUAUCCGGGAGACACACGGCGGGUGCUAACGUCCGUCGUGGAGAGGGAAACAACCCAGACCGCCAGCUAAGGUCCCAAAUUACUACUAAGUGGGAAACGAUGUGGGAAGGCUCAGACAGCCAGGAUGUUGGCUUAGAAGCAGCCAUCAUUUAAAGAAAGCGUAAUAGCUCACUGGUCGAGUCGGCCUGCGCGGAAGAUGUAACGGGGCUAAGUAGUAAACCGAAGCUGCGGCAAUAUACUUUUGUAUAUUGGGUAGGGGAGCGUUCUGUAAGCGGUUGAAGGUGUGUGGUAACGCAUGCUGGACGUAUCAGAAGUGCGAAUGCUGACAUGAGUAACGAUAAAGGGGGUGAAAAACCUCCUCGCCGGAAGACCAAGGGUUCCUGUCCAACGUUAAUCGGGGCAGGGUAAGUCGACCCCUAAGGCGAGGCCGAAAGGCGUAGUCGAUGGGAAACGGGUUAAUAUUCCCGUACUUCUUACAAUUGCGAUGGGGGGACGGAGAAGGCUAGGUGGGCCUGGCGACGGUUGUCCAGGUUCAAGUGCGUAGGCUUAAGAGUUAGGUAAAUCCGGCUCUUUUUAAGGCUGAGACACGACGUCGAGCAUCUACGGAUGUGAAGUCAUUGAUGCCAUGCUUCCAGGAAAAGCCUCUAAGCUUCAGAUUGUAAGGAAUCGUACCCCAAACCGACACAGGUGGUCGGGUAGAGAAUACCAAGGCGCUUGAGAGAACUCGGGUGAAGGAACUAGGCAAAAUGGUACCGUAA
rnacentral:rRNA from 1 species